rnacentral:rRNA from 1 species
AUACAGGAGGGGGCAAGCGUUAUUCGGAAUUAUUGGGCGUAAAGCGCGUGUAGGCGGUUUGUUAAGUCUGAUGUGAAAGCCCCGGGCUCAACCUGGGAAGUGCAUUGGAUACUGGCAGACUUGAAUACGGGAGAGGGCAGGUGGGAUUCCUGGUGUAGGAGUGAAAUCCGUAGAUAUCAGGAGGACACCGGUGGCGAAGGCGGCUGCCUGGACCGAUAUUGACGCUGAGACGCGAAAGCGUGGGUAGC